CCUACGGGUGGCUGCAGUGGGGAAUAUUGGACAAUGGGGGCAACCCUGAUCCAGCCAUGCCGCGUGUGUGAAGAAGGCCCUCGGGUUGUAAAGCACUUUCAGUGAGGAAGAACGCCUGGUGGUUAAUACCCAUCAGGAAAGACAUCACUCACAGAAGAAGCACCGGCUAACUCCGUGCCAGCAGCCGCGGUAAUACGGAGGGUGCGAGCGUUAAUCGGAAUUACUGGGCGUAAAGCGCGCGUAGGUGGCUUGAUAAGCCGGUUGAGAAAGCCCCGGGCUCAACCUGGGAACGGCAUCCGGAACUGUCAAGCUAGAGUGCAGGAGAGGAAGGUAGAAUUCCCGGUGUAGCGGUGAAAUGCGUAGAGAUCGGGAGGAAUACCAGUGGCGAAGGCGGCCUUCUGGACUGACACUGACACUGAGGUGCGAAAGCGUGGGUAGCAAACAGGAUUAGAUACCCCUGUAGUC
rnacentral:rRNA from 1 species